rnacentral:misc_RNA from 1 species
AACGCACCUUGCGCUCCUUGGUAUUCCGAGGAGCAUGCCUGUUUGAGUGUCUUGAAAUCAUCAACCCCUUCGGUUUUGCGACUGAUGCGGGUUGGACUUGGGGGUUUGCUGCUGAAAGGCGGCUCCCCUUAAAUGUUUCGGUCGGGCCUGUAGGUCGACUUUGAUUGGGCGUUGUAUUAUCCUCGCUCCUGAAAGUCUCCUCUUUCGUGCCUUUCCACGACCUGCCUAUGGAGUGGCGGUCAAACUUUUCUGACAUCUGACCUCAAAUCAGGUAGGACUACCCGCUGAACUUAA